rnacentral:tRNA from 1 species
GGUCCUAUAGCUCAACCGGAUAGAGCAACUGCCUUCUAAGCAGUAGGUUGCGAGGUUCGACGUCCUGCUGGGAUCA